rnacentral:tRNA from 1 species
GCCAUGGCUCAGUGGUAGAACAUCUGUUUAGCCUGCAGAAGGUGCCAGGUUCAAUUCCCAGCAUCUGCU